UGCAUCAGGUGUGAAGAAGAAAGUUGAUAAAGUAAUGUCUGCAUUGAAGGAAUGGACUCAAAUUUCCUAUGGUUUAAAAAAGAAAACAAAGGGUUAGGUCAGUGAAGGAUACUUUGCUACUAGUUUUGAAUAGGAUAGGAGUCCUCUCUUGGGUUGUCAUGGUUCACCAACUGGAUUCGUAAGUAUUUACAUGCUUUGUUCGUUUGUUAUUAAUUUUUGUUUUGUUCCCCA